rnacentral:rRNA from 1 species
GUGAGGAAUAUUGCGCAAUGGAGGCAACUCUGACGCAGCCAUGCCGCGUGCAGGAAGAAGGCGCUACGCGUUGUAAACUGCUUUUAACCGGGAAGAAACCCCAGGACGUGUCCUGGGUUGACGGUACCGGAGGAAUAAGCACCGGCUAACUUCGUGCCAGCAGCCGCGGUAAUACGAAGGGUGCAAGCGUUAUCCGGAUUCAUUGGGUUUAAAGGGGUGCGUAGGCGGAGCGUUAAGUCAGUGGUGAAAUCCUGCAGCUUAACUGUAGACUUGCCAUUGAUACUGGCGCUCUUGAGUGCGCUUGAAGUGGGCGGAAUGUGCCGUGUAGCGGUGAAAUGCUUAGAUAUGGCACAGAACACCAAUUGCGAAGGCAGCUCACUAAGGCGAUACUGACGCUGAGGCACGAAAGCGUGGGGAUCGAACAGGAUUAGAAACCCUUGUAGUCC